rnacentral:rRNA from 1 species
UACGAACCGAGCGAACGUUGUUCGGAAUCACUGGGCUUAAAGGGCGCGUAGGCGGGCUGCCGCGUCCGGGGUGAAAUCCCACGGCUCAACCGUGGAACGGCCCCGGGUACGGGCGGCCUCGAGGUGGGUAGGGGCGUGCGGAACUGUGGGUGGAGCGGUGAAAUGCGUUGAGAUCCACAGGAACUCCGGUGGCGAAGGCGGCACGCUGGACCCCUUCUGACGCUGAGGCGCGAAAGCCAGGGGAGCGAACGGG